UACGUAGGGUGCGAGCGUUGUCCGGAAUUAUUGGGCGUAAAGGGCUCGUAGGCGGUCUGUCGCGUCGGGAGUGAAAACUCGGGGCUUAACUCCGAGCCUGCUUCUGAUACGGGCAGACUAGAGGUAUGCAGGGGAGAAUGGAAUUCCUGGUGUAGCGGUGAAAUGCGUAGAUAUCAGGAGGAACACCUGUGGUGUAGACGGCUUUCUGGACCAUAGCUGACGCUGAGACACGAAAGCGUGGGUAGCAAACAGG
rnacentral:rRNA from 1 species